CCCGCUGUAGCUCAGCCUGGUAGAGCGCCCGGCUGUAGAUGGAUUGUAGGAACCGGGUGGUCCGGGGUUCAAGCCCCCGCGGCGGGA
rnacentral:tRNA from 1 species